ensembl:lincRNA
AUGAGAGGUGAAGGAAAAAAUUGUCCUUCCCUGCACUUAUCUCUCACACUCAUGGCAAAAAUCAAGGACAAGGAAAAGAAAAUAGUAACACUGGAUUUUGAGCUGCUGGGAAACCUUGUUCACAAGCUUCAAGAAGCCUUUCAGACCCCAGAAUCAUUCUGUUCCCAAAAGCUGCUAGUUGAGUUGCAUUCCCAAAUAAAGCCUCGGUUUCUUGAAUACCUGGUAUGUCACAACCCCAACUGGUGGUGGCAUUUGACCAUCUUCUCCAGAUACCCAGAAGAAUCACGGAAAUUUGGCAUUGGCAGAGCAAAGAAGACUGCUGCCAGGAAAUUUUUUGCAUUCUUGAGCACACUGCUUCCCAGCAGACCUGCCUUUGAGUGAAAUCUGGGUUGAGCCAGCUGCACAGCCCCCAGCACCAGGCAGCCUGGCACCAAGAAUCCAAAGCUAAAAGUGGAUCAUUCUCACUGUUCCUUCCCAGAGGUACCUGAAUGGGGUGGAGGGGGUCUCAGACACUCCUUUCCCUACCCUCAGGUUCUGUCACAGAAGCUCUCCUGUUGUCAACACCAAGGAUUUUAAGGGACAUAUGAUUUGCAGGACACCAACCAUGUGGUGUCCUCAGAACCUCUUCCUUCCAAAGCAGAGAGGGGGAGGGGGAGAAAAUGGGGAGGGGAGAGAGAAGAGAGAGCGCCAAGGAGAGAGAGAGAGAGCGCCAAGUCUCCACUCUCCACUCUGGAGACUCCACUCUGGAGCCCUGCCAAGCAUCCACUGGCUGAUGAGGCAGCUGGGGCACAAUGACAGGUCAGAGGUGUUUGGGUGAGGAAUCCCAAACUGUGGCAGCUUUGCCCUUGGACCCCCUAACUCUCUUUGUGAGAAUGAAAUUCUUCUUUGGCACAAGAGCUCAUUAAAAUCUUUCAUGCAUUACCACACCUCUCACUUCUUCUCCCCGUAGAUGAACUAACUAUCCUUGUUCCUUUGACUAUCAGUUUUGUUAUAUGAUCAAUACUAGCCUGGUCAUCCCUCUCUGGAUGGGUGGAGGAUCUUUUGCCAGUGCACUUCUCAAAAGAUGUAUACAGUUGUCCUUUGAUAUCCGUAGGAUCAGGUCCAGGACCCCCUAUAGAUACCAAAAUUCACAGAUGCCCAAGUCUUUUAUUUAAAACAUAACCUAUGUGAGUCCACCUGUGUACUUUAUAUCCUCUCUAGAUUACUUAUAAUUUCUAAUUCAAUUAUGAUUCUGUGUAAAUAGUUAUUAUACUGUUUAGAGAAAAAAUGCAAGAAAAAAGCCUGUACAUGUUCAAGGCAGACACUUUUUUAUGACAAUUUUCAAGCCACAGUUUGUUGAAUAUUUGGAUGUGGAAUAUGCAGAUACAGAGGGUGAACUACAUUCAGAAUUAAGCCCAUAUAUUAUUCACUUUUACCAUUCCUUAUCACAACUGAUACCAGCAGCCUAUAUAAUAAGUAUCCUAUGUAUAGAGUAUUUCUGCAAUUUUAGCUCCUUAUGGACAUAACUGUUUCUACACAAUUAUUUAAAAUUCACAUUCACAAUUUCUCACCACAUCCUUAACCAGUGGGGCCGUUACUUCUCUUAACACUCUAAUAUCUCCCUUAAUACUCUAUGAGCAUCUGUUAACUCCUAUUAACACAGUUGAUGUUGACAUUAUCUUCCUGGUAGUUGUGUCUCAUUUAUGUUGGACAUUCAGUUUGUAGUUAACAAUAUUUUUGAGAUCACUUUUCACAUUAAUGCCUGUUGAUGUGUUCAAUGAACACAAGUGUUGUAUACAUGCAGGGUUUUUUUUUUAACACAAAGAUUGGAGUUUACAUGUGUCUUUACUCUGUUGUACCUCCUUGGCUAUCUCUAUUUUUGAAUCCCGGUUUUGCCUUCCAUCACACUUGUUUUCAUCCAAACACUACAUGAUCAGUGUAUUUGAAAAUCCAGGCUUCUGUGCCUUACCUGAGUUGCUAGUAAAAAAAUAUUGACUAGGAUGGCAGUGGUGGUUGAAUUGUUCUGGAGAGAUUUGUCUAUAAAACAGUAGCCUUGGGCUUGGUAGUCUAGGCAGCUGUGUAUUCAUCCAAGCAUCAUACUAAUAAAGCCACAUUUUCAACCUUGGAUACAGGAUACCCCGAGAACCCCUGCUGAGAGCUUGUUUGUGGGAGCAUGGCUAGGGGAGCAGGAGAGUAAUUACAGGAAGAACUGAGCUAAGAAAGAUGGCUGAAACAUCAGAAUGCAUUCUGGAGAGCUAGUGGCAAUGUUGUUUAAGAAAGUGGAAUCAGAACAGGAAGCUAAAGCAGAGAGAGACAGACCUAACAUUACUCUUGUGUAAACCAAGGACACAGGACAAAAUCCUCCCAUGCUGGAUCUGAAGUCAAGUAAAGACCUGGUGCCAUGGCAACUUGCUCUAUAGGAUAUACAAAAAAUAAUGUGAGUCUGAGUGGUUGGGAAAGAAGAAUAGGAAGCCAGAGAAGCCACCAGGGUAGAUUCAUAUGCUACCUAAAUGUCUGGGUUCCCGAACAAGCCUCUUUCUUAAGAUGGUACACUGGGCAGACCCUCUGAUGCAAGAUCUGACUUUGCUGAACUCCACGCCUACAGUUUUCCCCCAUCUAGCAGAAAAGACAACAUCACAAAAAAGGAAAAUCAGAGGCCUUGACAUAACACAUUUCCUGAGAGUCUGUGCUGGCUGCUAGUCACCAUAGCUCUCUUCUCUAAGUUCUGCCAAAUGACCUAAUUUGCCAUCUCUUCUAAGAUUUUGCAGGACUGACACUGUGGUUGGUUAAUGUGGUUCCUAGAAACAAACUUUAUAAAAAUCCAGAAGAUAGUCUUGCCGCAGGUACUUGGUACCUCUUUCUCCACAGGUAUUAAAGAUAACCAAUAACAGGAAUUUACAACUCCAGUGCUGCUUUUUUUUCUUCUUCUUCUUCUUCUUUUUUUUUUGUACCAGAGAUCAAACUUGGGACCUUGCACUUGCAAGGCAGGCAGUGGAACCACAGAGCUAAAUCCCCGGCCCUCCAAUGCUGCUUUUGGGUGCUCAGAAAUAUAAUUUAUCUGAUCUUAAAAAUUGUGCUCACUUCAUGCAAUUCAACCUUCUUUCCUACCCACUUUCUGAUCUUUGGAUGCCAUUUUGCUAUUAAUUCUGCAAAUUUUCAGUUUGGAGAUCCUUGUCCUUGAUGAAGUAGGGGAAAAAAACAGGAAAUGAGCAGUGCUGCUCACCCUGUCAUCACCAACAUUACAUCACCUGUUUCUGGCCUUUAUUUCUCCAUUGUUUUGGAUUUCUGUGUAGCUUCUCAAAAGCUCCUGAUUUUCCCUUAGCAAUUUUUUUCCAGGAGUCUCAGCUUGUUCUGGGAUUUCACCUUUCUGGCAUGAUUCCUUUAAGUUUAUGUCACUCCUUUGUAUUUGUCUUUGACCAUGUGCCUGUAUUUUUCCUAUGAGAAUAAUAUUAUACCACUUAUAUGACAUCUUCCCUCCUAGAGUCUGACCAUGAGGUUUUACCUCUGUUUUCCUGGCUUUAGUCCUGAGUCUGAGUAAGCCCAGAGUACAAGCUAGUGUGCAGUUCUAGAGUUGCAGAGAAUCACAGCAUGGCUUUAAAAAGAAAUCACAACACAAUUUCAAAAGGAUAUGAGAUUAAAACAACAACAACAUAAAAAGGGAGAAUGAGAAUAAUGAGAAAAAUGAAGGCACUUAUGUAUACAAAUUUCCCUGAUCACCCGGGAUAUUUGUAGAAAAUGCAGAUUCUUGCCCUCACUCUAGACCUCCUGAAUCUCUAGGAUAGAAACCAAAGCAUUCAGGUAUAAACAAUUUCAUCAGCUAUUUCUCAGGUGUCCCCGUGCUGGAUAACCGCUUCACUAGAUCCAGAGGGAGGACAGCAGCAUGAACCCUGACCGCUGAGACGGACUGGAGCAUCAAAGCCCACCCAUGCUUCUGCACACUCUGAAUCACAGUGAAAUGAAACACUCCUAAUUUUGAAGGUAACUUUCAGCCUGGGGGAGAAAGGAGUGCAAUACUGGAAGAAACAGACAUUUACUGAAAUAUUUAGAGGAAAAUAUUCUAGAACUCAGUUACAGAACUCAAAUUCUUUGUUGACAUAAGAAUAGUCCUUGGAUUAUUUAUCUUCUUAAAUCACCCCAUUUAGCAGGAAGAAAACUCAGUAUGUGCACACAAGCACACAGACACACACACACACAGACACACACACACACACACACACUAUAAUAGCAGGACUUUUGAAACAUAUUUCAGAGCCAGGCAGGUCUGCAUUCAAGUAUAAUGUAUGCCUUUUAAUAGUCUUUGUUCAAUUUGUCUAACUAUAUACAACUUUAUGUAACAUAAACAACUAUAUUUGAUCUUGUUCAAUUAAUUUGUUUAACUAUAUAUAUGCAAAAUAAGAACAAUAAUACUAACCUUAAUAUUUGAGGAAACCAAAUAAAUAUUUGCAUUUCUUUCUCUCCUCCCCUAAGGAAGAUAUAUGUCCAGAUACUAGCCAUUUUCCCCAUUUCAUGGAGAUUCUUAAGGAAAACACCACAUCCCCUUUAGUAUAAUACAAAACUACUGAAGACAGUCGAAAGCUGCAAGACAAGAAGGACUUAUUCUGUCUCUAGUAGUGCUGUAAUUUAAAGCUUGACUUCAAUUAAUUAUUCACUAUCUGUUCACCAC